UACGGGGGGGGCAAGCGUUGUUCGGAAUUACUGGGCGUAAAGGGCUCGUAGGUGGCCAACUAAGUCAGACGUGAAAUCCCUCGGCUUAACCGGGGAACUGCGUCUGAUACUGGAUGGCUUGAGUUCGGGAGAGGGAUGCGGAAUUCCAGGUGUAGCGGUGAAAUGCGUAGAUAUUGGGAGGAACACCAGUGGCGAAGGCGGCUCACUGGAC
rnacentral:rRNA from 1 species